rnacentral:tRNA from 1 species
GAUGUAGCUCAGCGGGAGAGCACUUGCUUUGCAUGUAAGAGGCCCUGGGUUCAACCCCCAGCAUCUCCA